GUGCCAGCCGCCGCGGUAAUACGGAGGGUGCAAGCGUUGUCCGGAAUCACUGGGCGUAAAGGGCGCGUAGGCGGCUCAUGAAGGCUGUGGUGAAAGUCCGGGGCUCAACCUCGGAUCGGCCGUGGCGACUCGUGGGCUGGAGCACUGUAGAGGCGGGUGGAAUUCCGGGUGUAGCGGUGGAAUGCGUAGAGAUCCGGAAGAACACCAGUGGCGAAGGCGGCCCGCUGGGCAGUGGCUGACGCUGAGGCGCGACAGCGUGGGGAGCAAACAGGAUUAGAAACCCUGGUAGUCC
rnacentral:rRNA from 1 species